GACGUAGGGGGCCAGCGUUGCUCGGAAUUACUGGGUGUAAAGGGUUCGUAGGCGGCUGUGGCAAGUCGGGAGUGAAAUCUCUGGGCUCGAACCCGAGAGUCUAGCUUGCCGAAACUGCUGUAGCUUGAGUGUGGGAGAGGCGCGUGGAAUUGCAGGUGUAGACGGUGAAUGCGUAGAUAUCGGGAGGAACACCUGUGGCGAAAGCGGCUCACUGGACCACUACUGACGCUGAUGCGCGAAAGCUAGGGGAGCAAACAGG
rnacentral:rRNA from 1 species